ensembl:lncRNA
GGGGCGUUUAUUGAGCUUUCCCUCAGGGAGCGGGAACCUAACUUGCCUUAGUGCUGCAGAAUCAGAAAGCGCGCGAGGGCGCCCACUCCCGGGACAGUAGGAAGAAAGGGGAAGGGCACCAACGUGCAAAGGGCAUCCAAACUUCACAAGGAAAGCUUGGUUUCCCCCGGCUCGGUCCUCCUCCUCUUUCCACUUCCUGGGAAACCGCCCUCGGGUGCUCUCUGGCCUCUGGGACAGACAGGAAAACUCCUAAGCACUGGAGGAUCUUAUUCCCUGACUCGCUUUUGGUUGAAAAGCCAGUCACCAGACGUCAGAAAUCUUUGCAAGGGUUUACCAACUGCAUCUUGUUGUUUUCCAAAGCAGGGGUCUGUGGUCUGUGGUCCAGAUGGACACCGACUGACUGAACCGGCGCCUCGCGAUGGGCAUGGAAGCCGCUUCUGCCCCCAAGCCCAUCAGAGGGCCGUGGUCAACCCCAUCCCCCGCCCCGUUUCCUCAACAGCCCCUCCAAAUCUCCAUCGCCUGCCUCAAGCGGGAUCGUCCUCAUACCGUUCGGUACCCGAAGAGAUCAGAAGCCAGCUAGUCAAGAACUCUCCCUUUCCCACACCCCCCCACCCCCGUUUGAACGUCCCUCUACUUCUCUCCACCCACCCCUCCCCUUUCCCUUUGGUUUUCCAGGAAGAGGGAUUCAGCUUGGCAGUUCCAGGGUCCUGGCUCCACGUGGGGUGCCCUGGGAACCAUCUGCUCAGCCUCCCCCAAAGAUCUCGUUCCCUCAGUUUGCCAGCUGCUUUCUCUUCGGCCCGUCUCUUUCCUUAAGCCGCUGAGCACACCCAAGUCUCUCCCAGCAUCCACACCUCUCCUUUCUGCUCCUCCACCACCGCCUUCUCUCUCUACCUUUCACGGCUAAGCUGCUGGCAAAAGACCUCGACUUCUCGUCAGCCAUCCAGUCAUCGCCUCGUCUCUCACCGGCUCCUCGAAAGACUCCCCAAAUCUCGUCGCCGUCACGUCCUAGCAGGAGGCCAGGGAACGCCCUUCGGUUCCUUCGCCUUCCUAAACUCUCUGUGGUGUCUGAGGAAUGCUGCCCACGUCUACAGUCUCUGAAAGUUCUCUCCACCCUCUUUCUCUGGGGGAUGGCCCCCUCCCCAGGUGCCCUUCCUAACCUCAGACCCUUCUGUCUCACUUUCCUCUGCAGCUUCUCCUCCCGACCACUUCUCAAAGGGUUCUGUUCUCGAAGGCAGGGUCUUCAGGGAACAGGAACCCCUCGGGUCUCAGAGCAAGCUCAUGUGCUCCUACGAUUCGACUCGCCCCCAGAUGCCCAGGGCUUCUGAGUGCGUACGACUGACAUCACCCUGCCCCUGACUCCACGCUGCUUUCUCUAACUGUCUGCUGGACGCACCUCUCAGGAUGUCCAAAGGCUUCUCAAAACUGACACGUCCAAAGGGGAGCCCGGUAUCCUCCAACAAAACCCUCCCCCUCCUCUUACCUUCCUUUCAUCACCUCAGAAAACCUCUGCCCAUCUCAUCACCCGGGAGCGAGAGGCCUCAAGGCCACGCUUGAGCUCUCUGUCUCACCCACUUCGCAGCCUCCCGACUCCCAAAGGGAGCCAAGCACCUUAACUUCUUUGCCGUCCCCACUGCUCUGCCGCAUGCCUUCCUGUCUCUUGCACGCAACCAGCCCAGUAGACUCCUUACUGAUCUUGCCGGCUGGCCUCCUGGCACACUGCCCCCCCUCCCCACUUGAAUCCAUCCUCCACACUGUUGGGAGGGUGACCCAAGAGGAAAACCCUGCCGUUACUGACACCACGGUGCCCAGCCCCCACAGGGGUGGACGUGGGCAAGAAAGUAACCAAAGUUUCUGAGGUUGUUUUGCAGAACAACAGGAAGACGGCAGAGCAGAGAGCAGCUUGAUGGCAGCCCCCUGGCCCCCGCCUGACUGGACAUCGUGCAGAGGCUUGGACCAGCUGAAAUGACCCAUCGCCAACUUUCUGCGUCACAGGCAGAGAUCCUUGGCAUGCACCACGUCGAACCCUACUGAGUUCGCUCUUGUGACCCGUGAAGAAAUGGGAUCCACCGUUGCACCUGAGCAGAGGACUCUUCAAGCUUCACCUGCAGCGCUCUCCUGAUCCUACCCCUUCCCUCUGGAGGCAAUAUAGUCCUUGUCUACAAAUAUUACUUAAGGCCAUUUAUGCUGUGACCUACAAAUUAGCCCAGCUUCAGCGGGGACCCCCUCCAGCAAAAGACUCUAGAAGCUGUCCUAAUUAAAAUCAACAAGCCAUCCCACUAGAGCCCUCAGAGACUCCUCUGGUGAAGAGGCUUCGGCAACCUCCUCUCAUGCUUCCUGGAAAACCCAGAACGUGGAACAACAGGAAGAUGGCAGAGCAGAGAGCAGCUUGAUGGCAGCCCCCCGGCCCCCCCCCGAGCGGACAUUGUGCAGACACUUGGACCAGCUGAAAUGACAGAUCGCCAACUUUCCACGUCACAGACAAAGAUCCACGGCAUGCAACACGUCGAACCCCACUGACUUCACACUUGUGACCCACGAAGAAACACAAACGACAGUCACACCUGAGCAGAGGACACUUCAAGCUUCACCUGCAGCGCUCUCCUGGUCCCCACCCCUACCCGAAACCGAAACCGCAGCUAAAAACCCCAGUAUUUUUCCUUUGAGUUUUGCAUAGCUACUCUCACCUCCUUGUCUGGCUGCCUCUUGAUCAUAAACCUCUUUCCUUGCUAUAAUCCUAACGUUUCACUGAUUGGCUUUGCUGCAAAAUUGGGUAAACAAACCUGAGUUUGUGUUUGGUUUCAUCGCUUCCCUGCUUGAAAUAAUUCAGGGUCACCCAUUUCCUGGAAGCUGAACUUUAGCUGAAUCUCCAAGACCUCGCCUCUGCAUCUUUCCUCCCUGCUCCUCACCCACAUACAGGCCACCCUCCUGCCACGUGCGAUUUUCUGCAAACCCCGAACAGGUUCUGACUCAAGUGACUUCAGGACCAUCUGCCUUAUCACAACAGAGCCCUUGCUUCAAGAAACUACACACCAGAAGUGUUUAAUUUUCCUUCUCUUCACUUAGAUGCUGCAACUCUCACCCCCUCUCAGGUCAUGGCAUGUCUGAAUGCUUAACAGAUGAGCUCAACAACAGUUUAUUUGUUAAGUAAUCUCCCAUCCCAGGGUAAUACACUGCACUCCAUGCAGAGCCACACAGGGAGAGCUCUUUGGAAGAGAGUAAAUAUGUAUGGCUAUGGGAGCACACUUUUCAGUAACAAGAGGGUGGUUGUGACCCUUGGUUCCUGCAGGAAGGUAUGAUUGCCUUCUUUGAGUAAUUACACAGGCUGAUAGUAAACUGGAGCCUACUACUUGUGGAGCAACUGUGCCUGGUCCCUGUGAUAAAGGGCUCUUUUUGGUGAGGGGACCUUAACUGUGGGAGCAGAGAGGGUAGGGAACUUGCAAGUAGGCCAUUUGAGGCCCUCUGAUUUGACCGGAAGUCAAGGCCACACUUAAUACUGAAUCUUCGUUUCAGGCCUCAUACCAGAAUUGAUUCUUUGAUGCCUUGACAUCAAUUACACCUUGGUGAUGACUGAGACUUUUAGGGAGGAAGACAAAUGCUUCCCUGGAAGCACAAUUGGCCAGAAAGGAGAAGUGGUCAUCAGCAAACUCAAGUAUAUGAACUCUCAUUGACGUUCACUCGGUUGAUCAUAAGGGAAUCCCCAGGUACUAAGCGACCUGGGGAAGGGGUAACAUCCUCCAGCAUCAUGGCAUCUGGCAAUGGAGUGGGGACAGGGGAGAGCACCCUUGCCAGCAGGUAGGACAUGCCAUGUGGCCCAGGUUUGGCUCCAUCCUGUAGCAAAGAGGCCUUGCUAACUCCUGAACUUGUGGGGUACUGCUUCCAUGACCCAAGGAAUAGUGGGCAGCUGGGUAUGGAGGCUCAAGGUCUGGGAGAAUCCCGAAGAUCCCAGUGCAUGACCAGUGAUUGCUGCUCUACUAUAGUAUAAUGCAGGGCCAAGGAGGGCGGUUUCUUGCAUCAGAAGCCCAGAGAGAGUGUAUGCACAUCGUGGGUGGUCCAGAGGCUCCAGGAAGCAUAAGAGGAGGUCGCUGAAGCCUCUUCACUGAAGGAGUCUCUGAGGCUCUGACAGGAGUGCCUGGUGAUUUUAAUUUGGACAGUUUGCAGAGCCUUUUGUUGGAGCGGACCCCCGCUGAAGGUGGGCUAAUUUAUUUGUAACAGCAUAAAUAGGCUUAAAUAAAAUUUGCACACAAGGGUUAUGUUGCCUCCAGAACCAAAAAACUACUAAAAGAUUGUGGACUUGUAUGUCCAUUACAAGUGUGUCAAACAAAUGUCCUCGAAGGAGGAGGUCAUAAAAGUUGCAUCAUAUCUGUACUCCUGGGGAAAGGGGGAUUCAGUGAGGAUCCUGUCUGCAAAGACUGCCUGUGAGAGCAGAAUGGCUUAGGUACUUGUGGUAACAAGGUAAAAACAUGUCCUCUCAGAGGUGAUGGCAAACUGUGGCUGAGAGGAUGUUCAAACAGGCUCUGAACAGAAUGUAUUAACCAAAUAUAAAAUAGCAAAAUAUUCAGCCUUGUGUAAAUGAAGUGGGAUCCCAGGUGUUUUAAGGGUACCCAAGAUUUGUUUCCACUAGGGAUAGUCUAAUACAAAGAUAUAGAAAUAGCUGUCAUGAAGAAAGAAGUUUUCUGUCCUCACAGAUCUUGAUCAACAGGAGGCAGGGCACACCGUGGAAGGCCACACAGGGCAGCGCCAGGGUCAGUCAGGAGGCAGAAGGAGUGAGGGGAAAACGUGGGCGAGAGCCUUUCUUGUGGAUUCCACAGGAAGCUAGGAGCGAGGAGGCGAAAACAGGUGUUAGAUUGG